GAGGUGUGCUGUGAGACUUGGAAGAUCAGAAAACUGGAGUAAGGGAGACCCUGCCCCAGCAGGAGAGGGAGACUCCUCCCCCCGUUUAAGGACUGAAGGUACCCCACCCAAGGGGGAAGAGGGAGACAGAUAAGAUGUUCCAAGGAAAGUUAGCAGUAGGAGGAAUUUGGGAAUUUUGUAAAGGCUAGAAGCAGCAGAAAAAAUCCUGUAUAGAUCAGACCUAUCCUAGGAAAAAAAUACCUUCUCCAAAGGGAUUGAGCUUCUCAGUGGAUACACUUCUCGAUUACUCAACUAUUAUGUAGACAUUCAAGACAACGCCUGGAUUUCAAGAACAGUGAAUAUGGGCCACAU